UAGGCAAUGAGGAUGUGCCACUGAGGAAGAUGUGUUCAGGAACCACCUGCCCUCAAGUGAUUUAUGAGCAUUAAACUUUCCAAAGCCCCCUUCCCAUGGGAUUGCAGUAGCUGACCCUGAUCUGAGACACUGGAUCCGAAGCCACACCAUUGAGCUGGAAGUGACCAUACCGCAGUGAUUCCUUACUAUCUACUGUCAGUGGGCAAGGCUAAUGCUCAUGAUGAGCAGAAGCUAGACCUUUCCAGAACUUUGAUACUUCUUUUCACUGUACAUAAAAAUAAAAAAAUCGUCCACUGACAGUU